rnacentral:rRNA from 1 species
AGGACGAACGCUGGCGGCGUGCCUAAUACAUGCAAGUCGAACGGUCUUUCUAUGGAAGCUUGCUUCCACUGAGAAGAUAGUGGCGAACGGGUGAGUAACACGUGGGUAACCUGCCCAUAAGAGGGGGAUAACAUCCGGAAACGGGUGCUAAUACCGCAUAGUUUUCUUGAUCGCAUGAUUGAGAAAGGAAAGACGGCCUUUGUGCUGUCGCUUAUGGAUGGACCCGCGGCGUAUUAGUUAGUUGGUGAGGUAACGGCUUACCAAGACGAUGAUACGUAGCCGACCUGAGAGGGUGAUCGGCCACAUUGGGACUGAGACACGGCCCAAACUCCUACGGGAGGCAGCAGUAGGGAAUCUUCCGCAAUGGACGAAAGUCUGACGGAGCAACGCCGCGUGAGUGAAGAAAGGUUUUCGGAUCGUAAAACUCUGUUGUCAGAGAAGAACAAGUUGGAGAGUAACUGCUCCAGCCUUGACGGUAUCUGACCAGAAAGCCACGGCUAACUACGUGCCAGCCGCCGC